rnacentral:rRNA from 1 species
AUUGAACGCUGGCGGCAUGCCUUACACAUGCAAGUCGAACGGUAACGCGGGGCAACCUGGCGACGAGUGGCGAACGGGUGAGUAAAGCAUCGGAACGUGCCCAGUAGUGGGGGAUAGCCCGGCGAAAGCCGGAUUAAUACCGCAUACGACCUAUGGGUGAAAGGGGGGGAUCGCAAGACCUCUCGCUAUUGGAGCGGCCGAUGUCAGAUUAGGUAGUUGGUGGGGUAAAGGCCUACCAAGCCGACGAUCUGUAGCUGGUCUGAGAGGACGACCAGCCACACUGGGACGGAGACACGGCGCAGACUCCUACGGGAGGCAUCAGGGGGGAAUUUUGGACAAUGGGCGCAAGCCUGAUCUAGCCAUGCCGCGGGCGGGAAGAAGGCCUUCGGGUUGUAAACCGCUUUUGUCAGGGAAGAAAUCCUUUGGGUUAAUACCUCGGGGGGAUGACGGUACCUGAAGAAUAAGCACCGGCUAACUACGUGCCAGCCGCCGCCGUAAUAC